UUUUCCCACCAGGUUUCGAACCUGGGACCGAAAGCGUGUGAGGCGGUCGUGAUAACCGCUACACCAUGGGAAC